CUCAGUAUGUUAGUGGGAGCAGAAGCUAAGGGGAAAAACAGUUGAGUGGGAAGGGAACAGGGGUUUUGAACUUAAGCUGUCUGCCAUCAGUGACAUUGUGGUCACUCACAGGUGCUGGUGGUGACAGCCCCCAGAUAAGUAGAGCAAGAUACUCAGAUUCUUUGUUCUCAUUCAGACAAACUUCUUUUGGCUCCAAAGGAAGCUUGAGUGGAAACUGGAUAAGGUGCCUGGUAUUUUACUUAAAGCUAUUAGAGCUGGAAAUAGCCUAUCAGGUUGUUGGGGAACUCUGUACCAUGCCUAUGAAUAUUUUAUCAAAACUACACAGAAGCAAAGGAGCUACUGGAAGAUACUCAUUCCCAUGGAAGAUUAAUUAUAACCAAAUCUUCCAGAGCUUGCCCCUACUGCUGAUUUUAUGUCUGCUGUCUCUGACUGUGCUACAAAAGGAUUAGUAAACUCCUGUGAGAGAGUGCCAGUCUCCAUGUCUAUAUGCUGCUUCUUAGCAGCAUUACUUCAUAGCCUAGAUAUUUGCUGUCAACCAGAAGUACUGGCCAGCCCAUGAGACAAACACGGUAGUCAGUCACUAGCUGAUGGCAGACAUCUGCUGUGCUCGGGAGCAGCAGUAAGCAGUGUUUGUAUUAAAAAGCUUUUGUGGCCAGACAGUAGGACUGACUCCUCUGAGCUUGGUUAUGGUAACAGUCCCCCAAGGAAAUUACGUAUGGCUUAAAAGAGGAAGCAGAUUCUCUGAUUUACAAAUUAUGUGCCCUCUCUUCUCUGCCAAAUAACUAAUUGCACCUUAAAUAGAGGGUGAUCUAUAAGAAAAAACAAACUUACAUAUGAAUAAGUGCUCUUUGUAGCUUACACAGGCCAUGUAUUUGUCUUUUGUCUGUCUUGCACUUUAUGUGUUUAGCCACUAUCCAGGGCGAAGGAUUGUGCAUAUUCACCCUGGGACUCAUCCUAAAAGGCACUGGGAUUCAGGGAGACAGUGGUUUUGUGGUUUCCUUAGUCCUUCUAUGAACAAACAGAAUGUUGUGAUGGCACCAUCCUUAAGCACUAUGGCAACAGAGUACACCUGACCAGUGGAGGGGCUGGUCUUUUUUAGAGCUGAUAUUUCCCUAACAAUACCUUGUUUCCCAAACAGCAACAACAUCAUACAAGGUUUCCCCAAGGCUCCGACAACUGAUCCAUUAAGUGGUCCAAUUUCUGAUAUCAGUUGAAUUCAUGGAGAUUUGAGUAUUUUCACCACAGUCUCUGGCUUAUUUGCUUUUAAGAUGAUGUAAAGAAACUUUACAUGUGAUCCCUGUUUUUCUAUGCUGGUACAACUACAGCUGACCAGCUGUGGCCCAAUGCUUUUUCCUGGUGUUUCUCUAAGGCUUUUGGUAUGGUAACAUCAGAGAAGGCCCUUCCUGACACAGCAAAACUGGCAGAGAUAAUCAAUUUUAGACAUAUGAAUUUACUUUGCAAACCCAAAGCAAAGUGUAACAGCAAAGAAUAAGGCUCUGCAACAUGAUGAAGAGGCUAGGUGAAUUAUAGUUUAGUGACAGUCAAUCUGAAAGCCUCCAUCGAUGACAGCCUUUCAUACUCUCGGAUUCAGAGGGGAGCUAAAGAAGACUCCAAAACUUUAACCCGUGUGCUUUUUCAUAUGGUUUGUUUCCAGUGCUGCAAUGGGUCGAGUUUCCCUCACCUCUUCUGAACCAGCCAUGCACAAACUUUGCAGUAUUUCACGGCCUGCUGUAGCUCACCCACAGCACGAAUCAGGGUAAAUUUAUGAGCUGUUCUUUACCUGCAGUCUCCCAUACAUGAUACUAAACUAUUCUAUUACUUAGAAUUGGUGAGGAACAAACCACCCUUUUUCAUCUGCAUGUCUUGAAUCUCAGGAGAGGUAGAGUAAUGUGCUAAAAGAACAUUUGUGCUCACUUUAUAAUGCGUGUGGGGAAUCUCCAGAGGGAAUAUUUGGGGGAAACUGAAGACUGUUGGUGUUUAUGCAGGCAUGCUGAGAGCCCUUGCCUGAGGACCAGACCUGGGUUCCUUGGUGGUGCUGAAAGCCCAGAGAAGGAAUUCAUCAAACUCCUGUCUAUUGCUUAUACCCCUGAGGCCCUGUGGAGUGACAGAAUAAAAAGAACCCAAUGCUGUUCCUCGAUGAGAGGAAUGGCACAAUGAGGUGAGAUCUUCUAUGAGACACCACUGCUAAAACAUGGAUUAAUGCCCAUGAAUAUAAGGAUGAGUCAGGAGCUGGCUCCUUAGUCGACCAGUGAUAAAGGGAGCUAGUAAGUUCAGAAGACCAUUCAGCAUACCUGAGAUCUGAGUAACCUUUUGGAUACCCUCUUCUGAUUGACUCCAGAGGAAAUGUGAUAGACUUCUGCAGCUCUUUACUGUCCACAUACAUCUUUAGCACAUUAAAUAAUUUUGUAUUAGAGCAAAUUUUAGCACUUUACUUCCAAGUCCCUAUCCAGAGCAUUUCUGGAUGUGCCAAGCACAGGGCCAAAUACGAAUGCUUGCAGAACUCCUUUAACGACAUCUUCUGUUAAGAAAAGUUGGCACACCUCCCUGGGUAUUAUAAUAUUUUUUGAGCUUUUUUGAUGUUGAAGCUAAGUACACAGCUGUGGCUCAUAGAAGCAGUUAUACCACUAUGCCAUGAAAUAAUCACCGAUAAUAUCUAAAACUGUAUGUCCUGCUUCAGGUCCAGAGUAACAUUUGCUCAGUUUUUAUGUUUCAGAAAUAUUAUUACUCCCUUCACUACAAGGUGAGCGCCAAACAAUAUUAGUCAAAGGAAAUUCAACUGUGGACUUGUUGAAUUAUUGUCUAGAGUGUAAGAGUUAUCAUUUUAGAAAGCCUUACAACCAGAAGAAUGCAAAGAAGGUUUUAAAAUAAGCUACUCUGAAUCUUUAAAACCAGAAAUUUUAAAAGUUUUCAUGAGCAAGCCAAGGAGAUACAGCCUAAGACAUCCUGUUGCCAUGAACUGGAAAGAAUUACGGUAGAGCAUGGACCUACUAAACUCCUGCACUAACGUGAUACAAUGGCAAGAGAGGACAUGCUUCAAAAUACAUGAGACUUCUCCUAAGAACUGGGCCUCAUCAAGCUGUUAUAAGUGAUCAGAGAUACUCAAGGGCUUUCAAAUAAGAAGUGAGUAGACAGGCUACAUAGGUGGAGAGAGAGAAAGACAGAGAUUUGUAGCCACGAAUGGUGCAAUAAAUAUGAAUAACAAAUUAUAUUUAGAUGCUGUAGACUGUUUUUUAAAGGUUGUAUAUGUCAGUAGUCCUCACAAGAGUGAAUCAGAACUGUUGUUUCUGAAUAUAUAUGAAGGCAUGAGAAAUUUAUAAAAAAAUUAUUGCCAGUUCUCCUUCCCAGUACUUUUGAGCACACAGUUUGUGGCCAGAAACACAUGACUGUCAGAAGUCCAAGGCAUGAAAAUUCCCUUCAAUGAAAUGGAAGGAAUAAGUGACCAAUUAUUCAUUUCAUUAGACCAUCACUGGGAAGAUCACUUGAAAUUGCCAUGUGAAAAUUCAGGAAGCCAAAAUCUUGAGAUGUUUUUGUUGCUGUUUUUAAUUAUUGCUUUUGUUGCUGUUGUUAAUUGUUGAUGCCUCAGAUUAUUCAUCUUGAAGAGGAUCACAAUUUAUUUUUUCAAUACACUCCUGAGACAUAGUAGAAGAUACUAUAAAUGUUUCUUGUAUUAAGAUGGUUCUUUGCAAAAUUUCUAUGCCUUACUACAGAUGUGGUCAUAAAUUCAUUUCAUUGAGGUUAAAUGGAGUGCCUUUUCACAUGCUUUAAAAUAAAUUGUUUGGCAACACUUGCUAUUAAAAGAGAAACUCACAUAGACAAAGAGAUGAGGGUGUCUAAAACUCUGAUUUAAAAUUGCUUUAUACCAAUUUAAAGAUCACAGACUGUCUGGGUAAGCUCCGACACAGACAGAACAUCUUGACUCAGUCUGCAUCCAGGUGCACAAGAAAAGUCCAAGAAACUUCAAGGAAGCAAUGAGUGAUUCAAGCUGACUGCUAGUCAGAAGCUGUCAGAUAUCCAGUUCUCAUUUUUCUCCAUCUCUCAGCAAAACUGUAGUUUCCAGCCCAGGGACUGAGCUGGCAACACUGCCUGUGUGCUGCUGUCCUGCUUACGGAAAGCCAGGUGCUGCAUUGUGAUGUGCAGUGAAAGAAACAGCAUCCUGCAAAUAAACAAGAUUAUCAACUCCUCAACAACCUGUGUGUGUGUGCACAUAGAGAAAAAUAGUGUGGGUGUUAUGAAGAGAGGGGAAAAGAGAAAGAGAGACGAAGAGGAAAGAUAGAAUUUGCUAUUGAUUAAUAUUCACUAUUAUGACAGCCCCUGUACAAAGAAGAUAUUUUCCCCAUCAGCCUGCUUUUGCAGUUUUUUUCCAAACUGCAGCUUGAAGAAAACAGGAAGAAAAAUCCUGCUGUUUUCCAGAUGUCAUAUCAGGAUGCCAGCCUUUUCCUAGGUCAUCAAAUCAACAUUGCUGAUUGUUCAGCCCACUGUGAUCUGCGUAAGUUGUUAUAGCUGUUGUGUACUAACAGCAAACAUUCACCUUCUGCCUUCCUGUGUCACUCAGCUUCUCUCUUUGCCCAGGAGCUCCUGGCCAGCUGCCACAGACAGUAGACUCACCAUCUUGACUCGGUCAUGUUUAUUAACUUAGUCUAGAAAAACACAGCUGAUCAGCAGCAGCCAGUGUACCUUAAUCAGAUAUUCUUCCUGACAAACUCCAUAGCUGUGGGACGCGACUGUGUUACGGACAGUCACAGAGAGUGACUGUCUCCACAGCGCCAUGGAGAAGGACAUGGUGUAAGAAAGAAGUGCACAAACACAAGGCUCCAAAACAAGCCCUGUGAGCCUCCACAACUCCUAGGGAACAACCUUCUCCAGGUGGAUUGAAGAAAGCGUGAAUUAACAGACAUGAGCUUAAUUAAUUCACUGGUUUCAAUGGAAAAUGACAUUUCUUGGGCUACCCAAAGAAAGGAAAGUGUAUGAGUUGAAAGCGGGGAAAAUAUUACUGCCCAAAGGGCAUAAUUAUCUUCAGAGAGGGUGAUUAACUGCCUGAGAAUUACAUGCCCUGAAAGCUGAUGUAUAAAUAUUUAGUAAGCACCUAAGACCAGUUCAUAACAAAUUUCCUUGAACAUAACUUGUCAGUUCUGCUUUCAGCUUAAAGAUGCAAGGAUAUCUUGCAUCAAGGCUGCAGUCACAGAAUGGAUGAGUGCUAGCGACUGCUACAGGUAUUUGGCAGAGCUGGUGUAGGGAAAAGAACACCCUGGCAGCCCCUUGCUGCUGUAGUGAUGCUUCUCAUCUGCAAUAGCUCUGGGGUGGGCAGAGGUAUAUUAAGCUCACAUUUAUCAAAAGAAAAUAUUGAGAAUCAGAGAUUCAAAAGAGUGAGCAAAAUCAUUACCUGCUGUCACCUCGUCUGUCUGCUGUUUCACUGUCUGUCACUGCACUGAAGUACUCUGUCUUGUAUUUUCUGGUUUACAUUUUUGUUUUAAACAAUACAACUGGCUAGAUGCUUUCCCAGAUUCUGUGUGGGAGUAUUAAGGCUCUGCUAAACAAGCCCUGAAGAGGAGAGUUAGUUUGAUGGGCGCUGGUCUGUAAAUUCCAGAUACUACCAGAGAUCUGCUGUGGGAGGAAGGAAAAUGGAGUCUUUUCACUACUGACAGCUGUAGCAUAAACUUUUAUUAGUUUUAUUGUAGUUGAUUUAAAUAGUUCUCAGCUGGGCUCUGUGUGGAAGUCACAGCUAUACAUGGACCCUGGUUUUCACCCUGAAUAAGGGUUUUGUUCCUAUGGUCAUACCUCUGAUGUCAUGAGCUCGAUUUUACCCUUGAUGCAAUGCCCACUCGUACUUCUUCCCUGGCUGCCUGCCUGCGGCAUGGCAACAGGCACGGGGAGACGAGAGAGCCUGUGUGUCCAGUCACCCACCCACCAGAGCAUGGGACCGAGAGCAGAAAAGGAAGAUGAAUAGAAAGCAGUCCAAAUCCCAGACUGAAUGAGCUGAAUAAAGUUACAGAACUGGAUAAAGUAAUCCCUUUUACCUUUGGUCCUGCUGUCUCAGCUCUGGACGCAAUAACAAGCUGGCUUUGUUUCUGUGAUCCAGCCUCUGUUUUGUGGGUGAAGGCCGGCAGGCAGCUGCCCUCACCCCGUGCUGGCAGGGGCUGGGGGAUACUCUCUCCAGGACAGGUGGUGGAAAAGCUGAUUUAGACUCAAAGUCUUCAUUUUCUACUACUUUGACAUUAUUUGGGCAAGCAGGGACCUUUUCCAAGGAAGGGAUGAUAAAGCAGAAACAAUAUGCAGUAUUUUCCAAGUAACUUUUCCUUUACCUACUAUCUUACAAAAGCGAUUGUUAAUCUAUUAUUGGCAUUUACCUCAUUCUACUGUAAAAUUACUUGAGAAUAUAGCAGAAAAGAAAAGAAGGGAAAUUAUAACUGCUAGUGAUACAUCCUUUUCCAGGUCAUUUAUAUUUCAGAGUCUUAUUUUUCAUAACACAAAACUAGCAUGGGACUUUUUGACCAUAAAUCUUACAACAGAGUUAAGAAUUAACUCGUGUGGUAAAGUCUGGCUAGAUCUGUAAGAUACCCAAGGAAAAGAAUGAAUCUAAAAUUCUUAGUUAUUCUCACACUUAAUAAUCACAAUUUCAGAAAAAUCUUUCUAAUUCUUCCACGUGUGAUAAAAAUGUUGAAGCAAAGUAUGAUCAUAGUAAGUGGUAAUAUUUUAUAUUAGCUUAUGAAGGGAGAUGUAAAAGUGCACUAAUCUGCCUCAGGUACUGCUACAUAUUUCCAUAGGAGAUGAGUUAGAAGGGAAGUAAAAAUCAGCAGUGAAGAGAAAAGGUGAAAAAGAAUAAAAAAUACUUUUGUUGAAUUAUUCAGCUUUCCAGAAGUAUUAUUGUAAAACUGCUUAACAGCAUCAGUUACUACUAAGGUUUCCACAUCAUUUCCCUUUUUGAGGUCAUAUUCUCAGUUAUACAUAAUUUUUAUGAACUCUUCAUUUGGACAAAAUUUUCCAUGUCUAGUGUCUGCUUUAGGCUGCUUUAUUUGUGGAAAAAUCCAGCCAAAAUGAUUCACUGGUUUCCAAGUAAGAGGUUAGUUAAAAAUACAUUGUUUUUCACGCGGUAAAAAUGUUCUGGUUGCUUUUCCCUGGAGGCACUGAAGCACCCCUCUCAUUCGAAACAUGGCGUAGAAAUUGGGCUUGGCUUGAAGGCUGAGAGGAGAGGCAGUACGAGUGGACUUUGAGCACACUCUGAUGUACAUGUAGUAAACCAGCAAGUCCAACAGUGCCUCCUCACUGGGCUGCUGCCAAGAGAUGUCCAUCAAACCUGGUUUUGGGUGAUGCAUCUUUUUCCCCUUGUCCCUCUCUGCCGCUUCUGUGCAAAUCCCUGUGGAAGCUGUCAGCCCCCAGCCACAAUGAGUUACUUGGUCUUUCUCAAGCUCUUGUUUUGGAAAUGCAAUUCAGAGCAUGUGAGUACAGCCCAAAUCCACAAUUGCACCCACUGUGGGGAGCCAUGUGUCAUGUCCAACCUGCUGCUCCAGCCUCUGGCUGCGGUGAUCUGCAGGGACCAGGGAGCUUCGGGCUCUCUGCCCGGACCACUCCUCAUCUGGUGCAAACCAUUGUGGCCAAAAUUUGCAAGCGCUGCUCUCUUCUUGCCCAGGAGGAACUGAAUUGUAGGCUGAUGAAUUAUCAAUAUUUGGGAAAAGCAGUCAGCAUUUCCAUGGGUAGCACCUAGUGGCAUGACUCUGGCUCUCUUUUCUUGUUAUUUUUA